rnacentral:rRNA from 1 species
UACGUAGGUGGCUAGCGUUAUCCGGAUUUACUGGGCGUAAAGAGUGCGUAGGCGGCCUUUCAAGUCAGGUGUAAAAUCUCUCGGCUUAACCGGGAGGGACCAUCUGAUACUGUUGGGCUAGAGUACAGCAGAGGGAAGCGGAAUUCCCGGUGUAGUGGUGGAAUGCGUAGAUAUCGGGAGGAACACCAGUGGCGAAAGCGGCUUUCUGGGCUGUUACUGACGCUGUUGCACGAAAGCGUGGGGAGCAAACAGG